AGAUAGAAGCUGUUUUUCAGUCUCUCGGUCCCAGCUUUGAUGCACCUGUACUGACCUCGCCUUCUGGAUGACAGACUCUAGAGGUGACAUUCACUCCCAUGCUGUUACAUUUCCCAUAUGGAGAUGAGGCCUCGAGUUCCAUUAUUAAAAAUGUGUUGAAUAUUGAUGAUUGGCAAGCAAUUAUGUGACCUGAAUGCGCCCUUUCCCAUCGGAGGGACUUAAUUUAUUAUUAUUUAUUUCAAACAGUGGAAGUAUAAAGGUGUGUUUUCUCUGUGUCGUUCCUGGAGAGACCAAAAGCAGCAGAAGUGGCGAAGAAGAACAUAGAGACAGUCAAAGCUGUGUCAUGACUUUACUUUCAUUAAUCUGAUUAUUGUUAUUUAUUUAAUCAUCUAACUAUGUUUAAUUGUUACCCAAUUUAAAUUAAUCAUGUAACAAUUAACUAAUUAGGAUUUGGGGCACCACGGAAGAGGUUGUUUUAAGAGUUACCAUCUCCGGAAUUAAACUCUAUAAGGUAUAUAUCUAUUACAUCAAUAAACAGCUGGAGCUCUUAUUAAUCAUUACCUCAUACCAUCAUUCGGAACAGUCGUAAACUCAAGCAUCUGCAAAAAACCCAGCCUUGCUAAUGAUUCAGUGCUACACAAAUUGGUUUAAUUAUUUAUUUACUAGCUACCUAAAAAAAUAACACAGAAAAACAUACACACUUACUACAUGAGACAAAGGUCCCUAGCGGACUUUCACAAUAUGGCUUUUUAUCCAACAACAUGGAGAAAGAGAGAAAAAGACACUUAUCGUCGAUACAUUUCAGGACUUUUCUCACAUGAAUCAUAUAGUUUGCACACGAACCGCCACCCGUUUGGAAUAAGAAAUCAUGAAUGUACUUACGUGUGGAUGUCUUUGUCCGGCUUGUAGUCCUGAACAGAACUACAGAGUUCACUCUGUUCCAUUCGAUCCUGAAGCUGCUUAUUUGAAGAUAAGCCAGCUGUGCCGAUGGUUCCAUUCAGGUGAUGAGAGUAGCGUACUACAAUGUUUUGUCAAGGGUAGUAGGAUGGUUUGAAGAGUUCAAGAUAUUUUACUCGGGACAGCUAAUCAGCUGUACCAGUGAUUGUCUGAGAGGGUUUGUUUUCCUCUUCCUCCUCGUGUUGAUAGUCAAGAUUUGACCCACGAUGAACAUGAGCUGCAGCUUGCUGUUUCUCUGGUCAAAUGGAAGGUGAGUUUAUUUCUUCACCUCGUGUUGAAGUUCAAAGUACCAACCAUUUCAAACGUGUAGCUACCCGCCUCACGUUCCCUGGUCUAAUGUUAAUUUCGUUAACAAGGCUCGAAGGAGACAGCUCCGUCUGUCUGACACGCUCUCCGACCUCACUUGGGGCAUGGCUACAUACGUAUCCACAGUUUAUAGGAGAUAGAUUCUCUUAUACCUCCUAAAAUCACAUUCCUAUCUUAACAACAAUACUUUAAACAUUUUUCAUACUACAUGCACAACGUAUUGGAUGGAAACUUGACAGAUAAAGGGGAUAUACUUUCCACGUUACAGUAUUUUGUCCAUACAGUUUUUAAUGACAUCACAAAACGAAAAGCAAUAUCACAUUAGUUUUCCAUAGCUUCCCACUGACCACUCCCCACGCCACAUUAUGUUACAAAUAUUGUUCCAGUAUUCACGUUUGACCGAGUUAGAGUUUUGUCGGGAAAAGUCUGUGAAACAGAUUCCUUUGUUCAUACUGGAGGGGAAUAAAGAAAGUCUUCUCCUUAAAUUUACGACAGGGUGUGGAGGUGUCAAAACACCCACACCAGAUCCCUCCUCCACUCUGCAGGUGAGAGAAGGUCUGUUAUUUUCAGCCAUUUCCAAGCUGAUCUGUCCCAUUGUGAUCCUCACAGGACACUCAUGACAGCGGUGAGACUCCACGUCAAGUAACUAGAGUGCAGAGAUGGAGAGGUUGUAUGUGUGUAAUCUGUAAUGGUGUGUGUGUGUAUACAGUAUAUGUGUCUCUCUUCAGGCUGAGCUUGUCAUGGAGGCUCUGGAGCUGUACAGAUCAGAGAUAAGGAAAAUGUAGGAGCAUCAGCCUGCCAGUCAGCCGCCAUCUCACUAUGUCAUGGCACGUGAUGAAGAAGGCCCAUUCCAGUGAGCCGGAGGUGUCUCUGCUAUUCCUGCCAUUCCCCUACGUCCCAAACCUGCUGUCUCUCUUCAACAGCUAUGUCCAGGAUGGCUUGGAGGUCGAGCUAGUGUGCCGCUUCUUUCUGCUCAGGGUCCACUUUGGCCAAAUCUUCAGUAACCAGAUGCUGCCAACCGUCAUAGAUGAGCUAAGAAGCAACACCCUCUUUAAAGUCUGAGAGUUCAGGUGCUGGUCUCCAGUUUCUCCAGGUGGAGGUCGAGAGCAAAGAGGACAUCAUGUUCUUUGCCGACGCCGCCUCGAUGAGAAGCGAGAGAGAGAGAAGAGAGCUCUACUCAUCAUCGCCUGAAUCACUCUCUCUCUAGAGGCUGGUAGGAUGACCUAUAGGAGGACGGGUUCAUUGUAACUGCUGGAAUGGAAUUUAUGGAACGGAGUCAAACAUGUCAUUUCCAUAUGUUUGUUUAAUACUGUUCCGUUUAUUCCAUUCCAGCCAUGACAAUGAGCCCGUCCUUCUAUAGCUCCUCGCACCAGCUUCUUCUGAUAUCUACCCCACAUCAUGACUAGUAGGCUACUGCAGGCAAGGCCUUUAGCAGAGAUUUACACUGUUAGUUUUAUAUUUCAACUGUUAUAGGAUCCUGA